rnacentral:rRNA from 1 species
CCUACGGGAGGCAGCAGUGAGGAAUAUUGGUCAAUGGGCGUAAGCCUGAACCAGCCAAGUCGCGUGAGGGAUGAAGGUUCUAUGGAUCGUAAACCUCUUUUAUAAGGGAAUAAAGUGCGGGACGUGUCCCGUUUUGUAUGUACCUUAUGAAUAAGGAUCGGCUAACUCCGUGCCAGCAGCCGCGGUAAUACGGAGGAUCCGAGCGUUAUCCGGAUUUAUUGGGUUUAAAGGGUGCGUAGGCGGCCUUUUAAGGCAGCGGUGAAAGUCCGUGGGUCAACCAUAGAAUUGGCGUUGAAACUGGGAGGGCUGAGGAUGUUUGGGGGAGGCGGAAUGCGGGGGG